rnacentral:lncRNA from 1 species
AAAAGGAAGCCAAGCCAUCACUUGAAAGCAAAAUUGGAAAACAAAGAUUGCAAACCAAAAGUGGCCACGUGAAAGGAAAGAGAAUAAAGCCUUUUGGCUUUAGGAAAUCAUUAUUGGCUUAUUAAUUGAAGCAUGAGGUGGCGGUUUUGAGCUUGGAAUUUAAUUCUCUCCAGGCAAGGAUUUAAACAAAGCCACAAUUGAAGCAUUAUAAAUA